GUCUUCGUAAAUUUGAGAAACUUUCCAGGUAUUUUUAUAGACAGAGUGGGCUGAGCGGGAGCUACCUGACCCUGGUAGUCAAGAUGCUGGCAUCCAGAAUGGGAAAAUGAGGCUGGAGUGCAGCUCCACAAUCACAGCUCAUGGCAGCCUCAAUCUCCCAGGCUCAAGCGAUCCUACCACCUCGGCCUCCCAAGUAGCUGGGACUACAGGCACGCACCACCACACCUGGCUAAUAUCUCCUCUUGCCUUUUUAAUACCCCACCAAAGGUCUGUUUCCUAUACCAGCACACUCAGUCAUCAGGCACCAACUUUGCAGACUGCUGAGUGAGUCUUUGAUUUGCAGAUUUAGGAGGUUGAAAAUUUGGGUCCUUCUCAGGAUAGAUCAAAAUUGAAUUCCCUCUGGACACAGGGCUGAGCCCAGCACGGACGAAUUUUCUUCAACAAGUGGUGCUGAGAGUGGCAGGUUAGGUGGAAGACAGAGAGGAAAUAUCCUAGAACUCCUGCCUGAAGGUGUCCCCUACCCCCACCCCCUCACCGCCUCCACCCUAUAACCAACAACACUUCAUUUCCAACAAAAUAUGAACCGAGAAAGAGUGUUGGACACAUACAGUAAUGAAAAUCCAUGAUUCAACUGUGCAUUCAUAAUUAUUUCAUAAAUAAAUGGCUUCUGGAGAGGCGCAUCUGUCUCUCGCCACCACGUGCGUGCCUUUCAUUAAUGUAUCCCGGCCUACGUGGAGCUAGCCCGAGAGCUCCACUCAAGU
rnacentral:lncRNA from 1 species